GUCUACGGCCAUACCACCCUGAGCACACCCGAUCUCGUCUGAUCGCGGAAGCUAAGCAGGGUCAGGCCUGGUUAGUACUUGGAUGGGAGACCACAAUCCCCUUCACCCACACA
rnacentral:rRNA from 1 species